GACGAACGCGGCGGCGUGCCUAAUACAUGCAAGUCGAGCGAAGUUUUUCUGGUGCUUGCACCGGAAAAACUUAGCGGCGAACGGGUGAGUAACACGUAAAGAACCUGCCUCAUAGACUGGGACAACUAUUGGAAACGAUAGCUAAUACCGGAUAACAGCAUUAACUGCAUGGUUGAUGUUUAAAAGUUGGUUUUGCUAACACUAUGAGAUGGCUUUGCGGUGCAUAGCUAGUUGGUGGGGUAAAGGCCUACCAAGGCGACGAUGCAUAGCCGACCUGAGAGGGUGAUCGGCCACACUGGGACUGAGACACGGCCCAGACUCCCACGGGAGGCAGCAGUAGGGAAUCUUCCGCAAUGGGCGAAAGCCUGACGGAGCAACGCCGCGUGAGUGAAGAAGGAUUUCGGUUCGUAAAGCUCUGUUGUUAGGGAAGAAUGAUUGUGUAGUAACUAUACACAGAGAGACG
rnacentral:rRNA from 1 species